ensembl:rRNA 5S_rRNA 5S ribosomal RNA
GUCUGCGGCCACACCACCCUCAACACGCCGGAUCUGGUCUGACCUCAGAGGCUAAGCAGGGUCGGACCUGGGUUGUACUCGGAUGGGAGAGGUAGUGUGACUUGCCCAGGCUCACGCCGCGGGAA